GAAAGCCGUAUGCAGGAAAACCGCACGUACGGUUUGAUGAGGAGGGGCUGGUCCCCCAGCCCUUUACUCUAC
rfam:Thermobacillus composti KWC4, complete genome.